AUUGAACGCUGGCGGCAGGCCUAACACAUGCAAGUCGAACGAGUGGCGGACGGGUGAGUAAUGUCUGGGAAACUGCCUGAUGGAGGGGGAUAACUACUGGAAACGGUAGCUAAUACCGCAUACCAUCGGAUGUGCCCAUAUUGGUUUAGCUAGUAGGUGGGGUAAAGGCUCACCUAGGCGACGAUCCCUAGCUGGUCUGAGAGGAUGACCAGCCACACUGGGACUGAGACACGGUCCAGACUCCUACGGGAGGCAGCAGUGGGGAAUAUUGCACAAUGGGGGAAAGCCGGAUGCAGCCAUGCCGCGUGUAUGAAGAAGGCCUUCGGGUUGUAAAGUACUUUCAGCGGGGAGGCGGGAACCGAAGAAGAAGCACCGGCUAACUCCGUGCCAGCAGCCGCGGUAAUUG
rnacentral:rRNA from 1 species